GUGCUCACUUCAGCAGCCCCUACGCUAAAACUGGAAUUCAGAGAAGAUUGGCAUGGCCCCUGCUCAAGGACAACAGGAAAAUUCCUGAAGCAUUCCCAUUUUUC